GGAGAGAGUAGCAUGCGCAUGCGCAUGAAGUGAGCCCGAGGGAUGGGCAGGGCGCCAACAGAGCCCAGCAUCUCGUGGGGACCCGCCUAGCGCAGCGCCCCCUGGUGGGGGGCGGUCCCCUCGGAGCUGGGCCCGCGGGAUGGUGGUUUAAAGAGGCUGGAGAACAGUGCAUCCGAUUCCAGUGAUCCCUCCCCUUGCUUGCAGAUAAGAUGGUUGAGUGGCCUGACCCUGUUGCAUCACUGAGUGCAGUCACGAGAGAUGCAUGGAUAUUGGGAGGUGGAAAUUGGGACUGUUCUGCAAUCACCAGUUUCUGUUU